GAUGAACGCUAGCGAUAGGCUUAACACAUGCAAGUCGAGGGAUCGGCGCACGGGUGCGUAACGCGUAUGCAACUUGCCUCACAGCGGGGGAUAACCAGUCGAAAGACGGAAUAAUACAGAGCGCUGUGAGAUAGGCAUGCGUCCCAUGAGCUAGUUGGUGAGGUAACGGCUCACCAAGGCAACGAUGGGUAGGGGAACUGAGAGGUUACCCCCCCACACUGGUACUGAGACACGGACCAUGCUCAGACAAAAAGCAGCAUGGAGUAAGAUUGAGCAAUGGGCGAGAGCCUGAACCGGCCAAGUCGCUUGAAGUGUGACUGGCUAUUGAUUGUAAACUUCUUUUGUAGGGGAAUAUGUACCCGACGAAUAAGCAUCGGCUAACUCCGUGCCAGCAGCCGCGGUAAUUC
rnacentral:rRNA from 1 species